GACGAACGCUGGCGGCGUGCUUAACACAUGCAAGUCGAACGGUGAAGGUGGAGCUUGCUCCGCCGGAUCAGUGGCGAACGGGUGAGUAACACGUGGGCAACCUGCCCCUGACUUCGGGAUAACUCCUCGAAAGAGGUGCUAAUACCGGAUACGAAUCCUGCAGGCAUCUGCGGGAUUGGAAAGUUUUUCGGUCAGGGAUGGGCCCGCGGCCUAUCAGCUUGUUGGUGAGGUAGUGGCUCACCAAGGCGACGACGGGUAGCCGACCUGAGAGGGCGACCGGCCACACGGGGACUGAGACACGGCCCAGACUCCUACGGGAGGCAGCAGUGGGGAAUAUUGCACAAUGGGCGCAAGCCUGAUGCAGCAACGCCGCGUGAGGGACGACGGCCUUCGGGUUGUAAACCUCUUUUAGCAGGGAAGAAGCGAAAGUGACGGUACCUGCAGAAAAAGCACCGGCUAACUACGUGCCAGCCGCCGCGGUAA
rnacentral:rRNA from 1 species